rnacentral:rRNA from 1 species
GUGCUGUGAGCUCGAUGAGUAGGGCGGGACACGUGGUAUCCUGUCUGAAUAUGGGGGGACCAUCCUCCAAGGCUAAAUACUCCUGACUGACCGAUAGUGAACCAGUACCGUGAGGGAAAGGCGAAAAGAACCCCGGCGAGGGGAGUGAAACAGAACCUGAAACCGUGUACGUACAAGCAGUGGGAGCCCCACCACCAAAGCGUUUCGCUUUGCGUGGUGCGCAAAAUGCGUAACGACAGCACGAUUGCGGUUAACGGAGCGUAAGCGACGUUCAACACAAGAAUCAGGCAGUGGAGCGUUUUGGGGUGGGGUGACUGCGUACCUUUUGUAUAAUGGGUCAGCGACUUAUAUUCUGUAGCAAGGUUAACCGAAUAGGGGAGCCGGAG